rnacentral:rRNA from 1 species
UACGUAGGGUGCAAGCGUUAAUCGGAAUUACUGGGCGUAAAGCGUGCGCAGGCGGUGGUGUAAUACAGUUGUGAAAUCCCCGGGCUUAACCUGGGAACUGCGCUUGUAACUGGCAAGCUGGAGUGUGGCAGAGGGGGGUGGAAUUCCACGUGUAGCAGUGAAAUGCGUAGAGAUGUGGAGGAACACCGAUGGCGAAGGCAGCCCCCUGGGCUAACACUGGCGCUCAUGCACGAAAGCGUGGGGAGCAAACAGG